rnacentral:misc_RNA from 1 species
AGCAGUCCAAUUCAAUAAUAAUCUAGCCAGUAAUUAUUGAAAAAAAAUUUGGCAAAACUAAUCUUAUAGACAGUUGAUGAAUAACUAAAAAAUGCACAAUAUGCAAUUAGCCUAUACUCCACAUCAAGAUGCAGCUCCUAUCAUGUGAAAUCAAUAGGAUAUAUCAAAAAUUCAAAGCUUGUUCUAAUAUACACAAGGGUGAGAAAAGACUACCUUCCAAACUCCGACUGGCUCUAUUACAUCCGAUCCCACAAGAACUAAUGCCUUCUUCUCUUAGGAACAGAAGCAAACGACAAGGUUUGUCUCAACAAAUUGGCAUUUUCCUUCAUUGUAUUGU